GCAAGCAAUCUUCCAGCAAGCAAUAAAAGCAGAGGCGGGAUUAUGCUCAGAAAUGGGACAAUGAACUCACCAUGUACUCCAUGUUUGCAGCAGAAGGGGGCCACUCAACCCAUCGUCCCUGUACCCACUCUUCGAAAGAGCGACCCAAUGAGCCUGAGCCUGCUCCUACCCCAGAGCCCUGCAUAAGAUAGAGCGCGUUUAUUCAGCGGGCAC